GAAGCUUCCCAUUUCUCUCUCUCUCUGUCGCUUCCUGUUCAUCUUCAUCUUCUCUGAUUUUCAUCUUCAAAUCUUCGUAUUUUCAUGGUAUCAGAGCAGGAAAAAUCUUCCGAUCAUUCUCUAUUAUGUGUUAUCGAUACUUGCUGAAGUUUUUGCUGAAGUUUUUUUUCGGAUAUCUGAGGAAAAUACUGUUCAUUUAUUUUUCGAUGAAUGAUAAUCGGAUAAUCGGGACUUUUAUGACUUUUUGAGGCUCCGAUCAUGUACCACUAGAUGUUUUGGGUGAUUUUCCGACAUCUCUGGUCUUAUUCCAG
rnacentral:lncRNA from 1 species